rfam:Erwinia sp. EM595 isolate E_g_EM595 genome assembly, chromosome: 1
CACAGUGUAAAAUCGUGAAGGAUGCGAACCUGCAGCAGGUUCGAGUCGAGCGAAAGCGAGACAACGUUGCGACAGCAACGGUCCGCAGGACAAGGCGAAGCCGGGUAAUCCUGCACGACCCACCA